ACUUUGGUUUUCAAAAAACUCAAUGGACCAACACCAGCAGAUGACAUUGCACCCCAAAUCAUCACAGACUGUGGAAACUUACACUGGACUUCAAGGCAACUUGGAGGACUUUGGACCACUGGACAACAGUCCAGUUCUUCUUCUCCUUAGCCCAGGUAAGACGCCUCGGGAGUGGACUUAACAAGAGGAAUAUGACAACUGUAGCCAAAUAUCUUGACACGUCUGUGUGUGGUGGCUCUUGAUGCCUUGACACCAGCCUCAGUCCAUUCCUUGUGAAAUUCACUCAAAUUCUUGAAUCUAUUUUGCUUGACAAUCCUCAUAAGGCUGUGUUUCUCUCGGUUGGUUGUGCAUCUUUUUCUUCCACACUUUUUCCUUCCACUCAUCUUUCUCUUAACAUGCUUGGAUACAGCACUUUGUGAACAGCAAGCUUCUUUGGCAAUGAAUGUUUGUGGCUUACCCUCCUUGUGAAGGGUGUCAAUGAUUGUCUUCCCCAUGAUUGUGUAGCCUAGUGAACCAAACUGAGAGACCAUUUUGAAGCCUCAGGAAACCUUUGCAGGUGUUUUGAGUUGAUUAGCUGAUUGGCAUGUCACCAUAUUCUAAUUUGCUGAGAUAGUGAAUUGGUGGGGUGGAUGUGAGUCAAAAUCAUCACAAUUAAAAGACCAAAGACUUAAACUACUUCAGUCUGUGUGCGUUGAAUUUAGUUUCACAAUUUGAGUUGAAUUACUGAAAUAAAUGAACUUUUCCACAACAUUCUAAUUUAUUGAGAUGCACCUGUAUAUUAUUUUACCUUACUAAAUUAUUUCAUUUAGGUUUUUUAAAGAUCUGAUGAGGUAGAGGCAGUGAAGGAGAUGCUUUAUCAGAUAGAGGAGACCUACCUGAAGAAGAAGGCACUGAGAGCCACCAGACAGCAAAAGGCUAAAGAGAAGAAAGCCCUGAAAAAGCUGUCCCUUAGGAGUCCCACCACACCACCCCAGGGCCAACUGAAUGAAGUAACCGACCCUCAACCCAGUCAUCCAAUAAGAGUGCUGAUAUGCUGCAGUGGCCUCUCUUUCUCUGAUCUACUCUGUCUGGCACUCCUCCGCCUACAACUGCUCCUCCUGCGCUUGUGUUCUGCAAAAGACAGUGGCCUCACUCAUCUAAAACACACUCUGACUGCUCUCCUGGUUCAUCUCAGCCAUGGCUGGGAUCACCCUGGACCUCUGAGCUCAAAGUCUGGAGAGCUUUGGAACACUCUCACAUAA
rnacentral:lncRNA from 1 species